rnacentral:lncRNA from 1 species
AUUCCCUGGGAGGAGGAACUGGAUCUGGAAUGGGAACACUGUUGAUAUCGAAGAUAAGGGAGGAAUACCCAGAUAGGAUGAUGCUGACUUUCUCAGUCUUCCCAUCUCCUAAGGUCUCUGAUACAGUUGUGGAGCCUUACAAUGCCACUUUGUCUGUUCACCAAUUGGUUGAAAAUGCUGAUGAGUGUAUGGUUCUGGACAAUGAGGCCUUGUAUGACAUCUGUUUCCGCACACUUAAGCUAACCACUCCCAGCUGUAAGCCUUACCCUGAUCUAUGCUUUUUGUUUUGCCAAGAUUAUCGCUUAGAGUUUGAUGUACUAGAUCUAUGUUAGUAAUAUGGAAACUAACCCUCCCCUUUUUUAUUUAAUGUAAUUUGGGAGUAUCUUUGUGAAACAUCUUGGCUCAGAUUUUGCAUAUGAUUAUUCUGUGCUAUAUCAACUUGUUUUUUUAUGCUAAAAUCAAUUUAGUUUAGAUCUAAGAUCAUUUUGGGGAUUUCCGAAUGUCUCACGUAUCUUUGUUAUUUUCGUUUUGAUCUUUUCACAGUUGGUGAUUUGAACCAUUUGAUAUCUGCAACAAUGUCUGGAGUUACAUGCUGCUUGCGAUUCCCUGGUCAGCUCAACUCCGAUCUCAGGAAACUUGCCGUGAAUCUCAUCCCCUUUCCUCGUCUUCACUUUUUC